ensembl:lincRNA Meg3 maternally expressed 3
GACGAAGAGCUGGAAUAGAGCUCGCCUCGGCUCUGCUGGCCUUGGCUGCAGCUCUUCCAGAAACCCGGGGCGCCCACAGAAGAAUCUCUUACCUGGCUCUCUCUUCAGGGAUGACAUCAUCGGCUCACACCAGUCUUCCAGGACCACCUUCUGGAUGCCAAGGCUGCUGCUCGAGUACCUGCUGUGCACCUCUACCUCCUGGUACCCCAGCCACUCCCUCAAGUUGCCUGCAUGUUAUAUGGCCUAGCCAAGGAGCACGGAUUCCAGGAACCCACUACCAUACAGAGCAACUCCUUGUGGACCCCCCUGGGAUCAGGACAGCGAGGGACAAGCGACAAAGAGGAUCAUCAGUGGCCAGCUAGUUUCUCUGGGGUUCAAACCUUGAACCAGUGCCCUAGUGAGGGGGCACUGGCCAUGGCCCUUGACCUUUGCUCUGCUUGUGUCUUGAGUCUGAGCCCUUUCCUGUACAUCUGUGCUCGUGUUCAUCUGCUAGUGAACUGGAGUGCUGCCCUCCCCGAGGAGGGUCGUCCCUUGUGACUGAUCAUGCUGUCCUAACAAUGUCCUGAGCAAAAGGGUCCCUUUGGGAACCUCUCAGGAGGGGGACCCGGGUCAGGGGCGACCAGCAUCUUGCUGGCAACUCCGUGGGUGGGGUGGGGUGGGGUGCUUCCUUCUGGAAUGAGCACGUGGCUGACCCCCCAAGGCAUGUCCCCUCCCCCUCCUCCACCCACCUUCUCGGAGAUGUCCCUUUUGGGGUAGUGGGGACAUUAGGAGCAACCUCCUAGGGUUGUUGUGAGAAUUAAAUGAACUGCAGCAGCCUGAGGCAGGGCUGGGCAGAGACCUCAGCACAUGUUUGUUGAAAGGUUUGCAGGUGGAUCUAGUCCUCCCGUUCAUGGCUCAUGUGUCUCAACCAUUCUCUCGCAGACUCCUGCAGCCCCUAUGCCCAGGGCUCUCCUUGCGCCAGAGGUAGGUGGGAAAGAGAACUGGGAGAGCCCGGACUCACUCAUGAGAUUGAACUUAAAUUCACACGGAGGACACUUGGACUCUUGCCACAUUAGCCCCGGCUUCUCGAGGCCUGUCUACACUCGCUGCUUUCCUUCCUCACCUCCAAUUUCCCCUCCAACCCACUGCUUCCUGACUCGCUCUUCUCCAUCGAACGGCUCUCGCUCAGGUUUAAGGCUUGGCUUGCUGGCCCUGGAGAUCCCGUCGCCGUCUUCGUCGAACUCGAAAUCCUAGCCAUCGUCCUUCCCUGGCCUGUCGCGUCUUCCUGUGCCAUUUGCUGUUGUGCUCAGGUUCCACGAGCUGCCCAUCUCCACAGAAGAGCAGCUGGCAUUGCCCACCGGCCAUGCCGGCUGAAGAAAAGAAGACUGAGGACCCCAGGAUGCCCAGCGCGAGGACCCCAGGAAGCCCAGCGCGAGGACUCCACCCACGACGCCCAGCGCGAGGACUUCACGCACAACACGUUGCAACCCUCCUGGAUUAGGCCAAAGCCAUCAUCUGGAAUCCUGCGUGGGACCCUGGACACACGGACACAGACACCUGCCCCCAGGACCCUCCAACUGUAAAUCCCUCUACAGCCACGGGGACGCCUUGCACAUUUCCUGUGGGACAUGCUGGACCCAAGACUCUGGACCCUGGCCUCCCCUUGAGUAGAGAGACCCACCUACUGACUGAUGAACUGCGCUGACCCUGGGGUCAGGCAUGUGGCCUUGAUCCCUACCCAUGGACCCUGAGACUUGGGGGGGUGGGAGAAAGGCUGUUGUGUCUUCACUGUUGAGUCUACAUCUGUGAAAUGGGCUCAGGUUCCUACCUCACAGGGCUGUUGUGAGGCAGCCGCAAUGUGCUUAGAAGCAUGGGGCCUAGUGGCUCAUGGUGCUUUCAAUAAAUUUCUUGUUUUAA